rnacentral:lncRNA from 1 species
CAGCUCUUACAGGCCCUCUUAACCUCAGAAGAAAAAAAAAAAAACAAAGAGUGUUCCUAGAGGCCAGAAAGCAUGUUCUGGGAGAUGAUGGGCGUCCCACCCAGCUGCCUGAGGACCAAACUGGGAUUUUAAUACAGCUGAAGGUAAGGGACACCUACGCCUUUAUCGCCAGUUGCUUCUAGCGGGUCUCCGAGGGGCUAUACGACGCCCUACUAAUUUGGCUCAGGUAAAACAGGUAUUACAGGAAGCAGGGGAAACUCCCUCCGCCUUUCUAGAGAGACUUAAGGAGGCCUACCGUAUAUACACUCCCUAUGACCCAGAUGACCCAGGACAAAUGACGAGUGUCUCUAUGUCCUUCAUCUGGCAGGCUGCUCCAGAUAUCAGGACUAAGUUACAGAGGUUAGAAAAUUUACAGGGCUAUACAUUACAGGAUUUACUUAAAGAAGCUGAAAAGAUUUUUA